ensembl:antisense Wt1os Wilms tumor 1 homolog, opposite strand
AUGAUUUGUUUGUUUGUUUGUUUGUUUGUUUGUUUGUUUGUUUUUUCACAGAUUUUUGGAGAGGGAACAGGGUGUUUGUAUGUAGGUGUUUGUUUGCAUAGGCCAAAGAUCAACCUCUGCACAAUGUCAGCUCUCAGGGGACAGUCACAUUGUAUUUUGAGAGAGUCUUCCCCUGGGACCUGGGAUACACUGACUGGUCAUCAAGGUCCAUGA